UACGAGGGGUGCGAGCGUUGCUCGGAAUUAUUGGGCGUAAAGGGUAGGUAGGUGGUCUCAUUUGUCCGGGGUGAAAGCCUUGAGCUUAACUCAAGAAGUGCCUCGGAAACGGUGAGACUAGAGUCUUGGAGAGGGUCGUGGAAUUCCCGGUGUAGCGGUGAAAUGCGUAGAGAUCGGGAGGAACACCAGCGGCGAAGGCGGCGACCUGGACAAGUACUGACACUCAACUACGAAAGCGUGGGGAGCAAACAGG
rnacentral:rRNA from 1 species